AACGAACGCUGGCGGCAGGCUUAACACAUGCAAGUCGAACGCAUCGCAAGAUGAGUGGCAGACGGGUGAGUAAGGCGUGGGAACAUACCCUUUUCUACGGAAUAGCUCCGGGAAACUGGAAUUAAUACCGUAUACGCCCUACGGGGGAAAGAUUUAUCGGGGAAGGAUUGGCCCGCGUUGGAUUAGCCAGUUGGUGGGGUAAAGGCCUACCAAGGCGACGAUCCAUAGCUGGUCUGAGAGGAUGAUCAGCCACAUUGGGACUGAGACACGGCCCAAUCUCCUACGGGAGGCAGCAGUGGGGAAUAUUGGACAAUGGGCGCAAGCCUGAUCCAGCCAUGCCGCGUUAGUGAUGAAGGCCUUAGGGCUGUAAAGCUCUUUCACCGAUGAAGAUAAUGACGGUAGUCGGAGAAGAAGCCCCGGCUAACUUCGUGCCAGCCGCCGCAGUAAAAC
rnacentral:rRNA from 1 species